rnacentral:rRNA from 1 species
GUGCCAGCCGCCGCGGUAAGACAGAGGUGGCGAGCGUUGUUCGGAAUUACUGGGCUUAAAGGGCGCGUAGGCGGUAAGAUAAGUCUGUGGUGAAAUCCUAUGGCUUAACCAUAGAAUUGCCAUGGAAACUGUUUUACUUGAGUCAGCGAGGGGAUGGUGGAAUUCCUGGUGUAGCAGUGAAAUGCGUAGAUAUCCGGAGGAAGGCCGGUGGCGAAGGCGGCCAUCUGGCGCUGAACUGACGCUGAGGCGCGAAAGCGUGGGUAGCAAACAGGAUUAGAAACCCGUGUAGUCC